rnacentral:rRNA from 1 species
AUUGAACGCUGGCGGCAUGCCUUACACAUGCAAGUCGAACGGCAGCACGGGAGCAAUCCUGGUGGCGAGUGGCGAACGGGUGAGUAAUAUAUCGGAACGUGCCCAGUCGUGGGGGAUAACGUAGCGAAAGCUACGCUAAUACCGCAUACGAUCUAUGGAUGAAAGCGGGGGAUCGCAAGACCUCGCGCGACUGGAGCGGCCGAUAUCUGAGUAGGUAGUUGGGGGGGUAAAGGCUCAACAAGCCGACGAUCUGUACCUGGUCUGAGAGGACGACCAGCCACACUGGGACUGAGACACGGCCCAGACUCCUACGGGAGGGAGCAGUGGGGAAUUUUGGACAAUGGGCGCAAGCCUGAUCCAGCAAUGCCGCGUGCAGGAUGAAGGCCUUCGGGUUGUAAACUGCUUUUGUACGGAGCGAAAAGGCUUCCACUAAUACUGGGGGCUCAUGACGGUACCGUAAGAAUAAGCACCGGCUAACUACGUGCCAGCCGCCGCAGUAAAAC